rnacentral:rRNA from 1 species
GCCCUUGAGUUGAUCCUGGCUCAGGAUGAACGCUAGCGAUAGGCCUAACACAUGCAAGUCGAGGGGCAGCACAUGAAGUAGCAAUACGGAUGGUGGCGACCGGCGCACGGGUGAGUAACGCGUAUGCAAUCUACCUACAACAAGGGAAUAACUCGUUGAAAGACGGACUAAUACCCUAUAAAACAGGGGUCCCGCAUGGGAAUAUUUGUUAAAGAUUUAUCGGUUGUAGAUGAGCAUGCGUUCCAUUAGCUUGUUGGUGAGGUAACGGCCCACCAAGGCAACGAUGGAUAGGGGAACUGAGAGGUUUAUCCCCCACACUGGUACUGAGACACGGACCAGACUCCUACGGGAGGCAGCAGUGAGGAAUAUUGGUCAAUGGAGGCAACUCUGAACCAGCCACGUCGCGUGAAGGAAGACGGCCCUACGGGUUGUAAACUUCUUUUGUAAGGGAAUAAAGUGCAGUACGUGUACUGUUUUGCAUGUACCUUACGAAUAAGGAUCGGCUAACUCCGUGCCAGCAGCCGCGGUAAUACGGAGGAUCCAAGCGUUAUCCGGAUUUAUUGGGUUUAAAGGGUGCGCAGGCGGAAGAUUAAGUCGGCGGUGAAAUUUUGCAGCUCAACUGUAAAAGUGCCUUCGAAACUGGUUUUCUUGAGUGUGGAUGAAGUAGGCGGAAUUUGUGGUGUAGCGGUGAAAUGCAUAGAUAUCACGAGGAACUCCGAUUGCGAAGCAGCUUACUAGCCAUAACUGACGCUCAUGCACGAAGGCGUGGGGAUCAACAGGAUAGAUACCCU